GCGGCUUCGCCUGUGCGGACAGUGCCGUCGGGAGAUGAGAGGGGAGCCCCGAACACACCGAAGAGAAGGACAACUCUAAACGCGGGCAGAUGGAGCUCGUUCAGCCCUGUAAGGCAGAUGAACCUUAGGAUCAAAGGGUGGGCUCAGUUCAGCGCUCACUGUGUCUCACCUGAAAAAUCCACUGCGCGGGCCCGAAGGCCUUACCCGCAUUUGCAAAGCCCUGUAUCACCAGCGCGCUUGUAACAAUUGUGGGUAAAGAUCUUGCCCAAAUUUUCGUUCGCGAAGACUGGCCAUGAUGAUGAUGAUGAUGAUUCUACUCCUCCCAAGGGCUGUGGAACAUCACAUCGACCCUCUCCUUUCUUCCUCUGCCCUCUGCUGAAGCCUCCUCUUUUGACCAGGUGUUUGUUAAAAUUACAUGGGUUGCUGAAGUGGCUAUGGCAAAGGAUAAUGCCGAGAAUAUCGUAACUGUCAAAACAACUGCGUAGGCAAG